UACGUAGGGGGCAAGCGUUGUCCGGAUUUAUUGGGCGUAAAGAGCGUGUAGGCGGCCAGAUAGGUCCGUUGUGAAAACUCGAGGCUCAACCUCGAGACGCCGAUGGAAACCAUUUGGCUAGAGUCCGGAAGAGGAGAGUGGAAUUCCUGGUGUAGCGGUGAAAUGCGCAGAUAUCAGGAAGAACACCCGUGGCUAAGGCGGCUCUCUGGGACGGUACUGACGCUGAGACGCGAAAGCGUGGGGAGCGAACAGG
rnacentral:rRNA from 1 species